UACGUAGGGUGCGAGCGUUGUCCGGAAUUAUUGGGCGUAAAGAGCUCGUAGGCGGUGUGUCACGUCGUUCGUGAAAACCUGCAGCUUAACUGUGGGCGUGCGGUCGAUACGGGCAUCACUGGAGUUCGGCAGGGGAGACUGGAAUUCCUGGUGUAGCGGUGAAAUGCGCAGAUAUCAGGAGGAACACCGGUGGCGAAGGCGGCAUCCUGGACCGACACUGACGCUGAGGAGCGAAAGCCAGGGGAGCAAACGGG
rnacentral:rRNA from 1 species